GAUGAACGCUAUCUACAGGCUUAACACAUGCAAGUCGAGGGGCAGCAUUUCAGUUUGCUUGCAAACUGGAGAUGGCGACCGGCGCACGGGUGAGUAACACGUAUCCAACCUGCCGAUAACUCGGGGAUAGCCUUUCGAAAGAAAGAUUAAUACCCGAUGGUAUAAUCAGACCGCAUGGUCUUGUUAUUAAAGAAUUUCGGUUAUCGAUGGGGAUGCGUUCCAUUAGGCAGUUGGUGAGGUAACGGCUCACCAAACCUUCGAUGGAUAGGGGUUCUGAGAGGAAGGUCCCCCACAUUGGAACUGAGACACGGUCCAAACUCCUACGGGAGGCAGCAGUGAGGAAUAUUGGUCAAUGGGCGCAGGCCUGAACCAGCCAAGUAGCGUGAAGGAUGACUGCCCUAUGGGUUGUAAACUUCUUUUAUAUGGGAAUAAAGUUUUCCACGUGUGGAAUUUUGUAUGUACCAUAUGAAUAAGGAUCGGCUAACUCCGUGCCAGCAGCCGCGGUAAUACGGAGGAUCCGAGCGUUAUCCGGAUUUAUUGGGUUUAAAGGGAGCGUAGGUGGACAGUUAAGUCAGUUGUGAAAGUUUGCGGCUCAACCGUAAAAUUGCAGUUGAUACUGGCUGUCUUGAGUACAGUAGAGGUGGGCGGAAUUCGUGGUGUAGCGGUGAAAUGCUUAGAUAUCACGAAGAACUCCGAUUGCGAAGGCAGCUCACUGGACUGCAACUGACACUGAUGCUCGAAAGUGUGGGUAUCAAACAGGAUUAGAUACCCUGGUAGUCCACACAGUAAACGAUGAAUACUCGCUGUUUGCGAUAUACAGUAAGCGGCCAAGCGAAAGCAUUAAGUAUUCCACCUGGGGAGUACGCCGGCAACGGUGAAACUCAAAGGAAUUGACGGGGGCCCGCACAAGCGGAGGAACAUGUGGUUUAAUUCGAUGAUACGCGAGGAACCUUACCCGGGCUUAAAUUGCAUUUGAAUAUAUUGGAAACAGUAUAGCCGUAAGGCAAAUGUGAAGGUGCUGCAUGGUUGUCGUCAGCUCGUGCCGUGAGGUGUCGGCUUAAGUGCCAUAACGAGCGCAACCCUUAUCUUUAGUUACUAACAGGUCAUGCUGAGGACUCUAGAGAGACUGCCGUCGUAAGAUGUGAGGAAGGUGGGGAUGACGUCAAAUCAGCACGGCCCUUACGUCCGGGGCUACACACGUGUUACAAUGGGGGGUACAGAAGGCAGCUACCUGGUGACAGGAUGCUAAUCCCAAAAGCCUCUCUCAGUUCGGAUCGAAGUCUGCAACCCGACUUCGUGAAGCUGGAUUCGCUAGUAAUCGCGCAUCAGCCAUGGCGCGGUGAAUACGUUCCCGGGCCUUGUACACACCGCCCGUCAAGCCAUGAAAGCCGGGGGUACCUGAAGUACGUAACCGCAAGGAGCGUCCUAGGGUAAAACUGGUAAUUGGGGCUAAGUC
rnacentral:rRNA from 1 species